AAUGAAUUUAUUAAAAAUUUACAGGAAGAAAAUACAAAUUCCCGUCACAGAGAGUUAAAGCGUGGCUUGUUCAAUAAAUGAUAGCAACUCGCUUACUGAUGCUCGUGCGCAUUCGUGGCAUUGUCUUGAGAGGGGUAAACAAAGAUAGCGCACAGUAUCAUGAAUCAUUUUGGCUCACACAAGUUCUAUACGCGAGUCGGUUGUAUUCCAAACAAAUGACGUAUACCAAGCAAAACUUUUCUCCUCCAAACAUUGAGUUAUACCAAGUUGGACUUAUUCCAAAGCGGACAUAUACUGAGAUAUCACUGUAUUUCCCGAUCCAACACAGUUAGUGUAUCAAAUUAUAAAGUAUUUGGUAAUGUUUGG
rnacentral:lncRNA from 1 species